rnacentral:lncRNA from 1 species
CUGAGAUAUUCUCUGCCAUAAGCUUCUAAGAACUGUGCAUUAAUACUUGUUAUUAGGUAAAGAUCUAAUAAUAUCAUUAAUACUGAAAUAUAAGUGAUUAACAAAAUGUUAUCUUCCACAGGGAUAUUUGCAUUUUAUCAGGCAAACAAAGCCUUAAGCCAAAGAAAUCAGUUUUUCUCACAGAUAUUUUAGUGCAGUCUUCCCUCUGAACUUCUGUCACAUGUGGGAUCCAAUGCUGGACAAGAUCAUGGAGUGACUACUAUUUUUCAUGUUCCCAAAUGCACUUUUGUAAACUACAAAAUAUUAAACAAAAGUGAAUACUCAUUAUCUCUGUGAUCAUAUGAUCAUCUCAAAUUUCUCUGGAGCCAGGAGAAACUGACAGUGGAUAAUCAGAUCAUUGGUGAAGUGGAUUAUAAAAAUGGAUGUUACUUACUGAGGUGUUCCUGAAGUACUCUGUGGCCAUUCUAUGCACUGAGCAACAUGGACUGAGGGACCUCUGGAUAUUCCCAAGUGCCACUGUAUUGAUUAGAAAAUCACCAAUCUGCAUAUGCACACCAUCUGUGCUGUGGAGAAGCAAAAAAUGCAGGAUGACAUUUGCCUUAUUCGAAGGAAGAUUCAGAAACCACUAAUAGAACGAAGAGGGAAUUCUCUUUUGCAAGGAAGGAAUUUGGCUUUUUAAAAUAAAAAGAAAAGUACAUAAG